GACGAACGCUGGCGGCGUGCUUAACACAUGCAAGUCGAACGGGUUCGGAGGUUAGAAGACAGAGGUCAGAGGUAGGAAUUAAAAAUAGAAAUCGGCUCUGCCGAUUUCAACAAAAUUCCGACAUCCGACUUCCGACUUCUGACUUCCGAUACUAGUGGCGGACGGGUGAGUAACGCGUGGGCAACCUACCCAUAAGCGGGGGAUAACAGUUGGAAACGACUGCUAAUACCGCAUAAGCUAUUAAGGUCGCAUGACCAUAAUAGUAAAGGUAGCGAAAGCUAUCACUUAUGGAUGGGCCCGCGUCUGAUUAGCUAGUUGGUGGGGUAGCAGCCUACCAAGGCAACGAUCAGUAGCCGGCCUGAGAGGGUGGACGGCCACACUGGGACUGAGACACGGCCCAGACUCCUACGGGAGGCAGCAGUGGGGAAUAUUGCGCAAUGGGGGAAACCCUGACGCAGCGACGCCGCGUGAGCGAAGAAGGCCUUAGGGUCGUAAAGCUCUGUUGUAAGGGACG
rnacentral:rRNA from 1 species